GCUGGGUGUGGUAGUGCACACCUGUAAUCCCAGCAACUCAGGAGGCUGAGACAGAAGAAUCACAUAUUUGAGGCCAGCCUCAGCAAUUUAGCAAGAACUUAAGCAACUUAGUGAGACCCUGUCUCAA
rnacentral:sRNA from 1 species